rnacentral:rRNA from 1 species
AUUGAACGCUGGCGGCAUGCUCUACACAUGCAAGUCGAACGGUAACAGGCCGCAAGGUGCUGACGAGUGGCGAACGGGUGAGUAAUGCAUCGGAACGUGCCCAGUCGUGGGGGAUAACUACUCGAAAGAGUAGCUAAUACCGCAUACGAUCUAUGGAUGAAAGCGGGGGACCGUAAGGCCUCGCGCGAUUGGAGCGGCCGAUGUCAGAUUAGGUAGUUGGUGGGGUAAAGGCUCACCAAGCCAACGAUCUGUAGCUGGUCUGAGAGGACGACCAGCCACACUGGGACUGAGACACGGCCCAGACUCCUACGGGAGGCAGCAGUGGGGAAUUUUGGACAAUGGGCGCAAGCCUGAUCCAGCAAUGCCGCGUGAAGGAAGAAGGCCUUCGGGUUGUAAACUGCUUUUGUACGGAACGAAACGGCUCUGGUUAAUACCCGGGGCUAAUGACGGUACCGUAAGAAUAAGCACCGGCUAACUACGUG